UACAGAGGUGGCAAGCGUUGUUCGGAAUUACUGGGGUGUAAAGGGCGCGUAGGCGGCUCUCUAAGUCCCGUGUGAAAGCCCUCGGCUUAACCGAGGAACUGCACGAGAACUGGAGAGCUUGAGUUCGGGAGAGGGAAGCGGAAUUCCGGGUGUAGCGGUGAAAUGCGUAGAUAUCCGGAAGGAACACCGGUGGCGAAGGCGGCCGCUG
rnacentral:rRNA from 1 species